GAUGAACGCUGGCGGCGUGCCUAAUACAUGCAAGUCGAGCGAACAGACGAGGAGCUUGCUCCUCUGACGUUAGCGGCGGACGGGUGAGUAACACGUGGAUAACCUACCUAUAAGACUGGGAUAACUUCGGGAAACCGGAGCUAAUACCGGAUAAUAUAUUGAACCGCAUGGUUCAAUAGUGAAAGACGGUUUUGCUGUCACUUAUAGAUGGAUCCGCGCCGCAUUAGCUAGUUGGUAAGGUAACGGCUUACCAAGGCAACGAUGCGUAGCCGACCUGAGAGGGGGGUCGGCCACACUGGAACUGAGACACGGUCCAGACUCCUACGGGAGGCAGCAGUAGGGAAUCUUCCGCAAUGGGCUGAAGCCUGACGGAGCAACGCCGCGUGAGUGAUGAAGGUCUUCGGAUCGUAAAACUCUGUUAUUAGGGAAGAACAAAUGUGUAAGUAACUAUGCACGUCUUGACGGUACCUAAUCAGAAAGCCACGGCUAACUACGUG
rnacentral:rRNA from 1 species